rnacentral:lncRNA from 1 species
CGGCCAUCUUAAUUAUUGGGCGGGGUCAUCGGAUACUUUUUUGAAACUAAAUACCCUAAGGAUGAUUUUGGCCAUGUUUGCUUUAAUUUUGCCAGUAGUUUCAGAAGAGAAGAUUUUUGUAAAAAUUAAUGACGACGACGAAUAAUGAGAAAAUGAGAAAAGCUCACUUAGUCCUAUGGUCCAGGUGAGCUAAAAAGCAAAACGGACAAAAAGCAACGGACAAAAAGCAAAAG